UACAGAGGGUGCGAGCGUUAACCGGAAUUACUGGGCGUAAAGCGCGCGUAGGCGGCUUUGCAAGUCGGGUGUGAAAUCCCCAGGCCUAACCUGGGAACUGCAUUCGAGACUGCAUGGCUAGAGUAUCGGAGAGGGAAGUGGAAUUUCAGGUGUAGCGGUGAAAUGCGUAGAUAUCUGAAGGAACAUCAGUGGCGAAAGCGACUUCCUGGACGAAUACUGACGCUCAUGUGCGAAAGCGUGGGGAGCAAACAGG
rnacentral:rRNA from 1 species